AGAGUUUGAUCCUGGCUCAGAUUGAACGCUGGCGGCAUGCCUUACACAUGCAAGUCGAACGGUAACAGGUCUUCGGAUGCUGACGAGUGGCGAACGGGUGAGUAACACAUCGGAACGUGCCCGAUCGUGGGGGAUAACGGAGCGAAAGCUUUGCUAAUACCGCAUACGAUCUACGGAUGAAAGCAGGGGACCCUUGGGCCUUGCGCGGACGGAGCGGCCGAUGGCAGAUUAGGUAGUUGGUGGGAUAAAAGCUUACCAAGCCGACGAUCUGUAGCUGGUCUGAGAGGACGACCAGCCACACUGGGACUGAGACACGGCCCAGACUCCUACGGGAGGCAGCAGUGGGGAAUUUUGGACAAUGGGCGCAAGCCUGAUCCAGCCAUGCCGCGUGCAGGAUGAAGGCCUUCGGGUUGUAAACUGCUUUUGUACGGAACGAAAAGACUCCUUCAAAUAAAGGGGGUUCAUGACGGUACCGUAAGAAUAAGCACCGGCUAACUACGUGCCAGCAGCCGCGGUAAUACGUAGGGUGCAAGCGUUAAUCGGAAUUACUGGGCGUAAAGCGUGCGCAGGCGGUUAUAUAAGACAGAUGUGAAAUCCCCGGGCUCAACCUGGGAACUGCAUUUGUGACUGUAUAGCUGGAGUACGGCAGAGGGGGACGGAAUUCCGCGUGUAGCAGUGAAAUGCGUAGAUAUGCGGAGGAACACCGAUGGCGAAGGCAAUCCCCUGGGCCUGUACUGACGCUCAUGCACGAAAGCGUGGGUAGCAAACAGGAUUAGAUACCCUGGUAG
rnacentral:rRNA from 1 species